CAGGUUCCGGCCCUGGAAGUCUUGGCCAGACACCGGGUACCGAGUGUUGCGUCGUUGUCGGUAACGCCAACGGCGAAGCGUACACAGGGACGUGACGGGCCGCAAUGCGAAAGCGUGAAGGGAUUGAGCCCCGUAAUUAAUGUUAAGGGUGGGUGCCGACGCUGUUUGUGGUGCGGAAGGCAACAUCAACAAAGCCUAUCGGCCAUGGCUUUAGCGAACCCACCGGGAGCCUUAGGUGA
rfam:Candidatus Entotheonella sp. TSY1 genomic scaffold TSY1_scaffold00062, whole genome shotgun sequence.